GAGUUUGAUCCUGGCUCAGAGUGAACGCUGGCGGCGUGCCUAAUACAUGCAAGUCGAACGAUGAAGCUUCUAGCUUGCUAGAAGUGGAUUAGUGGCGCACGGGUGAGUAACGCAUAGGUCAUGUGCCUCUUAGUUUGGGAUAGCCAUUGGAAACGAUGAUUAAUACCAGAUACUCCCUACGGGGGAAAGAUUUAUCGCUAAGAGAUCAGCCUAUGUCCUAUCAGCUUGUUGGUAAGGUAAUGGCUUACCAAGGCUAUGACGGGUAUCCGGCCUGAGAGGGUGAACGGACACACUGGAACUGAGACACGGUCCAGACUCCUACGGGAGGCAGCAGUAGGGAAUAUUGCUCAAUGGGGGAAACCCUGAAGCAGCAACGCCGCGUGGAGGAUGAAGGUUUUAGGAUUGUAAACUCCUUUUGUUAGAGAAGAUAAUGACGGUAUCUAACGAAUAAGCACCGGCUAACUCCGUGCCAGCAGCCGCGGUAAUACGGAGGGUGCAAGCGUUACUCGGAAUCACUGGGCGUAAAGAGCGCGUAGGCGGGAUAGUCAGUCAGGUGUGAAAUCCUAUGGCUUAACCAUAGAACUGCAUUUGAAACUACUAUUCUAGAGUGUGGGAGAGGUAGGUGGAAUUCUUGGUGUAGGGGUAAAAUCCGUAGAGAUCAAGAGGAAUACUCAUUGCGAAGGCGACCUGCUGGAACAUUACUGACGCUGAUUGCGCGAAAGCGUGGGGAGCAAACAGGAUUAGAUACCCUGGUAGUCCACGCCCUAAACGAUGGAUGCUAGUUGUUGGAGGGCUUAGUCUCUCCAGUAAUGCAGCUAACGCAUUAAGCAUCCCGCCUGGGGAGUACGGUCGCAAGAUUAAAACUCAAAGGAAUAGACGGGGACCCGCACAAGCGGUGGAGCAUGUGGUUUAAUUCGAAGAUACACGAAGAACCUUACCUAGGCUUGACAUUGAGAGAAUCCGCUAGAAAUAGUGGAGUGUCUGGCUUGCCAGACCUUGAAAACAGGUGCUGCACGGCUGUCGUCAGCUCGUGUCGUGAGAUGUUGGGUUAAGUCCCGCAACGAGCGCAACCCCCUUUCUUAGUUGCUAACAGGUCAUGCUGAGAACUCUAAGGAUACUGCCUCCGUAAGGAGGAGGAAGGUGGGGACGACGUCAAGUCAUCAUGGCCCUUACGCCUAGGGCUACACACGUGCUACAAUGGGGUGCACAAAGAGAAGCAAUACUGCGAAGUGGAGCCAAUCUUCAAAACGCCUCUCAGUUCGGAUUGUAGGCUGCAACUCGCCUGCAUGAAGCUGGAAUCGCUAGUAAUCGCAAAUCAGCCAUGUUGCGGUGAAUACGUUCCCGGGUCUUGUACUCACCGCCCGUCACACCAUGGGAGUUGUGUUUGCCUUAAGUCAGGAUGCUAAAUUGGCUACUGCCCACGGCACACACAGCGACUGGGGUGAAGUCGUAACAAGGUAACCGUAGGUGAACCUGCGGUUGGAUCACC
rnacentral:rRNA from 1 species